GUGAAGACGUAGCGAAAUGCGAUAAGUAAUGUGAAUUGCAGAAUUCAGUGAAUCAUCGAAUCUUUGAACGCAUCUUGCGCUCCUUGGUAUUCUGAGGAGCAUGCCUGUUUGAGUGUCAUUAAAUUCUCAACUACACUGACUUUGAAUUGGUGUGGCUUGGAUUUGGGGGGAAAAUUGUUGUGGGCUUUUUGUAUAGUCUGCUCCCCUGAAAUUGAUUAGCGGUACCUUUGUGGAACUGUCUACAGGUGUGAUAAUUAUCUACAUCUUAGACAUCUGCUGGAAUGCUGCUUUCUAAACCUUACUUGUAUUGACAAUCUUGACCUCAAAUCAGGUAGGACUACCCGCUGAACUUAAGCAUAUCAAUAAGCGGAGGA
rnacentral:misc_RNA from 1 species